GCCAGGCGUGGUGGCGCAUGCCUGUAGUCCCAGUCACUCAGGAGGCUGAGGCAGGAGGAUCACUUGAGCCUGGGAGGUUGAGGCUGCAGGGAGCUGUGAUUGCAUCACUGCACCCCAGCCUGGGCAACAGAGUGAGACUCUGUCUUGA
ensembl:misc_RNA Metazoa_SRP Metazoan signal recognition particle RNA